UACGUAGGGACCGAGCGUUGUCCGGAAUCAUUGGGCGUAAAGAGCGUGUAGGCGGCCUUUUAAGUCCUGCGUGAAAUCCUGCGGCUCAACCGCAGACGGUCGUGGGAAACUGGAAGGCUAGAGUGCGGGAGAGGAGAGUGGAAUUCCCGGUGUAGAGGUGAAAUUCGUAGAUAUCGGGAGGAACACCGGUGGCGAAGGCGGCGACCUGGGCCAAUACUGACGCUGAGGUGCGAAAGCGUGGGGAGCAAACAGG
rnacentral:rRNA from 1 species